rnacentral:rRNA from 1 species
ACUCCUACGGGAGGCAGCAGUGAGGAAUAUUGGACAAUGGGUGAGAGCCUGAUCCAGCCAUCCCGCGUGAAGGAUGACGGUCCUAUGGAUUGUAAACUUCUUUUGUACAGGGAUAAACCUACCCUCGUGAGGGUAGCUGAAGUACUUACGAUAUA